UACGGGGGGGGGCAAGCGUUGUUCGGAAUUACUGGGCGUAAAGGGCUCGUAGGCGGCCAACUAAGUCAGACGUGAAAUCCCCAGGCUCAACCUGGGAACUGCGUCUGAUACUGGAUGGCUUGAAUCCGGGAGAGGGAUGCAGAAUUCCAGGUGUAGCGGUGAAAUGCGUAGAUAUCUGGAGGAAUACCGGUGGCGAAGGCGGCAUCCUGGACCGGCAUUGACGCUGAGGCGCGAAAGCCAGGGGAGCAAAGCGGG
rnacentral:rRNA from 1 species